GUGGUCGCUUUGGUAGCACAUAUACUAAAAUUGGAAUGAUACAGUGGAGAUUAGCAUGGCCCCUGCACAAAGAUGACAUGCAAAUUCGUGAAGCAUUCCAUAUUUUU